GUGUUUGCUUCAGCAGCCCAUACCCUAAUGUUGGAACGAUUCAGAGAAGAUUAGCAUGGCCCAUGCACAAGGAUGACACACAAAUUCGUGAGGCGUUCCGUUAAAAA
ensembl:snRNA Rnu6-1168 RNA, U6 small nuclear 1168